GAGCGGGUGUGAAUGGAUUUAACAACUGAUUAUGUUGGGGACCAAAAUGCACCUCGAACCCAACAUCGGCGGCUGGACGGAUAAGACCGAGGUGGACUGCAGAAGGUGGUAGGCACAACUCUGUACAUGCCUGGGCAGAUUGGAGCUUAUAUAAAUGAGGAAUCAUAUGAUCUCUCUUGUGGUGUAAUAUAUAUAAAAAUUAUUUUGAUCAAGUAAUAUCUUCAGACGAGGAAUCUUAAUCAUCACAAUGCGUUGGCAGCUUGUAAUCAUUGAUCUCUUUAUGUAUUCAUGUCAUGAGUUGGAGUAAUACAGAUUAAAGGCUUUGAGCUCGCUACGGCUUGAAGGGCGAAGGAAGAAACGAUUGGCUUGUCUGAAAAGCUUUGCUCGACGUCUCCUCUGGAUUAACACGCACCGGAAAGCCUCGCCUCCGAGAAGAUUAUGCAUUUUUGCAGUCCCUCUUAUUUUUUAAAG